rnacentral:rRNA from 1 species
AGAGUUUGAUCCUGGCUCAGGACGAACGCUGGCGGCGUGCUUAAUACAUGCAAGUCGAACGGAGUUAAGGGUUUCGGCCUUUAACUUAGUGGCGAACGGGUGAGUAACGCGUGAAUAACCUGACUCAAAGAGGGGGAUAACAACGGGAAACUGUUGCUAAUACCGCAUGAGACCACAACACCGCAUGAUGAAGGGGUCAAAGAUUUAUCGCUUUGAGAGGGGUUCGCGUCCCAUUAGGUAGUUGGAGGGGUAACGGCCCACCAAGCCAACGAUGGGUAGCCGAGCUGAGAGGCUGAUCGGCCACACUGGAACUGAGACACGGUCCAGACUCCUACGGGAGGCAGCAGUGGGGAAUAUUGCGCAAUGGGCGAAAGCCUGACGCAGCGACGCCGCGUGAGGGAUGAAGGUCUUCGGAUCGUAAACCUCUGUCAGAAGGGAAGAAACUAGGGUGCUCUAAUCAUCAUCCUACUGACGGUACCUUCAAAGGAAGCACCGGCUAACUCCGUGCCAGCAGCCGCGGUAAUACGGAGGGUGCAAGCGUUGUCCGGAAUCAUUGGGCGUAAAGAGUUCGUAGGCGGCACGUAAAGUCUGGUGUUAAAGGCAGAGGCUCAACUUCUGUACGGCACUGGAUACUUGCGAGCUAGAAUGCGGUAGAGGUAAAGGGAAUUCCUGGUGUAGCGGUGAAAUGCUUAGAUAUCAGGAGGAACAUCGGUGGCGUAAGCGCUUUACUGGGCCGUAAUUGACACUGAGGAACGAAAGCCAGGGUAGCAAAUGGGAUUAGAUACCCCAGUAGUCCUGGCCGUAAACGAUGGAUACUAGGUGUUGCGGGUAUCGACCCCUGCAGUGCCGCAGCAAACGCGAUAAGUAUCCCGCCUGGGGAGUACGCACGCAAGUGUGAAACUCAAAGGAAUUGACGGGGACCCGCACAAGCGGUGGAACAUGUGGUUUAAUUCGAAGCAACGCGAAGAACCUUACCAGGGCUUGACAUCUGACGAACCUUUGUGAAAGCAGAGGGUGCUCUUUUAGAGAACGUCAAGACAGGUGGUGCACGGUUGUCGUCAGCUCGUGUCGUGAGAUGUUGGGUUAAGUCCCGCAACGAGCGCAA